UUGUGGAGUUUAUACGUUCUGCCAUUGUUUUUCUAUUGGAACACUAUUGGUAACACCCUUAAAUCUAGCAUAGGAUUGCAAAGAGUACUGCAGAAGCAGUUUAUAAACUUGAUUGAGAUGGUGGUAAUUUGGGUCGAUCUCAUUUGAGGAAAUUAAUGUGUCACGGAAAAUAGUAUUAGCUGUUGAAAUUGAGCUUUGUGGAUAUCAAUAAUAGGUGUGUAUAAGAUGCAACAGUGGUUACGUGUUCAUAUUUGUAGAUCGGUAAGAACAAAAUGUAAGGGCUCAUUGAUAAUUACAAGGAUGAAUAUAUUUUUUUAUCUUAAAAUUAAAUGAAGCCUUUGCAAUUUUCUGUCUUGAAAAUGCUCACUCUACAUAUUCAAAUUAUUAAUAUGCAUAUGGUGGGAAACCCAGUUUUAGACCGGGAAGUUUCCAUCUACUAAAAUCUAAUGGCCGGCACCCAGUGCAUAGUUUGCAACGCCUGCAAAUUCUCAGCAUUUCGGUUCUUAUGUUGAGCUUUUGCUUGCUUUCCUGCAUCAUUGAUUUCAAUAUGGAUCAAAGAUUAAUACGUGCUUCUCAACAAGGGAAUACUGAUGAAUUAUAUGGAUUACUUGAAGAGAAUGGAUAUCUUCUGGAGAGAAUUGAUCAGAUACCUUUUAUUGACACUCCGCUACACAUAGCUGCAUCUGCAGGGCAUGUGGAAUUUGCACUGGAAGUUAUCAACUUAAAACCAUCGUUUGCCAGAAAGCUUAGUCCAAGUGGAUUU
rnacentral:lncRNA from 1 species